ensembl:ncRNA K03H9.5 ncRNA
UGAGGCGGAACAUUGCGCAAUCGACCGGUGUGUGAGCAGUUUACAAUAAGUGGGAGAGAAAGAGGGUAAGUAUACGGGAGCAGAUGUACCAACAUGUGUGCACGCCGUUCUACAGGAGCUUAUGUAACAGGAAGCAGGAGUAAAAUAUACGGGCA